AAACCAGCCAAUAACUCGGCUUACCUGAGUGUUUUUCUGCAGAAAUUUAGAGAAAGCUGGUGAUAGUAAAGCCAUGUUACAAGCCUUAAGGACACUGCAGUCCUUAGGAUCCCUGAAAAUGGCUGCAACA